rnacentral:hammerhead_ribozyme from 1 species
GCUGAAGAGUCCCAUAAUAGGAUGAAACGGCCGUCC